CGGCCCCGUCCUUCCCUCCCGGUGAGCCGGUCCUGAGCGCGGCGGCCGCAGCAGCAGCAGCAGCAGCAGCAGCAGCAGCCAUAGCCAUAGCAACCCCUCUCCGCCCUCCUCCCAUGGAAGACUCGAUGGACAUGGACAUGAGCCCUCUGCGGCCCCAGAACUUCCUCUUCGGUUGUGAGUUGAAAGCUGACAAAGAUUAUCAUUUCAAGGUGGACAAUGAUGAGAACGAGCACCAGUUGUCUUUGAGAACGGUCAGUUUAGGAGCAGGUGCCAAAGAUGAACUGCAUGUCAUAGAAGCAGAGGCAUUGAAUUAUGAAGGCAGUCCAAUUAAAGUAACACUGGCAUCUUUGAAAAUGUCUGUGCAGCCCACGGUUUCUCUUGGUGGAUUCGAAAUCACUCCGCCAGUGGUUUUGAGGUUGAAGUGCGGUUCAGGCCCUGUUCAUGUCAGUGGACAGCAUCUAGUAGCUUUAGAGGAAGAUGCAGUGUCAGAUGAUGACGAAGAGGAAGAGGUGAAACUCGGAAAUCUGUCUGGCAAGCGACCUGCACCCGGAGUGGUUCCUAAGGUUCCGCAGAAAAAAGCAAAAUUGGCAGAACUGGCAGAGGAUGAGGAAGAGGAUGAUGAAGAUGAUGAGGAUGAUGAUGAAGAUGAAGAUGAAGAUGAUGACUUUGAGGAGGAAGAGAAGACUCCAGCCAAGAAAUCUGCCCGAGAUACUCCAGCAAAAAAUGCACAAAAAUCAAACCAGAAUGGAAAAGAUUCUAAGCCAUCCACACCAAAAUCGAAAGGUUCAGAGUCAUUCAAAAAACAACAAGAAAAAUCUCCAAGAACACCCAAAGGACCUUUAACUGUAGAUGAUGUGAAAGCAAAAAUGCAGGCCACCAUGGAAAAGUCCUGUGUGCUGCAAAUCCAGCAGAGGGCGUGCAUGCUUUUGCGAGCAUCUACUAAAAGUAACAAGUGACUUGAUGUUCUAAUCACACCACUUCGGGGAAAUAACGAAUACUUGGUGAUUUCAAGAGGUGGUGCCCUCCCAAAAGUGGAGGGCAAGUUUAUCAACUACGUAAAGAAUUGCUUCCGGAUGUCUGAUCAAGAGGCUAUUCAAGAUCUCUGGCUGUGGAGGAAGUCCCUUUAAAAAAAAACUGAACAGUUUGUUAAAAUUUUCAGUCGUAUUUCUGUAACAGUUUAUCUGGCUGUCCUUUUUAUAAUGCAGAGUGAGAACUUUCCCUACCGUGUCUGAUAAAUGUCGUCCAGAUUACUUUGCCAAGAAUGUGUUGUCCAAAAUGCCUGUUUAGUUUUUAAAAGAUGGAACUCCACCCUUUGCUCCACUUUAAGUAUGUAUGGAAUGUUAUGAUAGGGCAUAGUAGUAGUGGUGGUCAGACAAAUGGAAAUGGUGGGGAGACAAAAUAUACAUGUGAAAUAAAUUCAGUAUUUUAAUAAAGUAAUAUUGUUUCCUUAUUUCUGGGGGAUGGGGUUGUCUCUAAGCUUGUCAAAAUAUGAAGUGUUUCGAAUUUGAAGUGAUUCCUAAAAGCAGUUAUUCAAGUUGGAUGUGACUAUUUGAAUACAGAAAACUGAAAUAUCAGAUGAAAAGUUACUGGCAAUGAGGGUCAAAAGCAAAUUUAACUUGAGCUAUAAUAAUGUUAGGCCUGAGUUUGCUCUUUCAGAUGGAGCUGUCUUCAUGCCUUAUAGAAUUAACUACUUAAGCCUUUUUUGUUCUCUGGGGUGUCCAUCUUCUCUUUCUCUCCCCCCAGUCAACUUCACUAGCUUAGCUGGAGGGCAGUUUGAGAAAUGUAAAGCGAUAGAAAUCCUUUCACUUGUGCGUUUUCUCUCCCCCCACUCCCCAACCACCUGCCUUUUAAAAUAGAUAGAACUCAUUCCCUUUGUGGUGUGUCAUUACCCAGGUAGGUCAUUGUGGGUUGUUGAGUUAGGAUGCCUUCCUUAGUUACAGGAGCAGAGAAGCUAGCUUGAAGUGCUCAAAACCUUCCAUUAUGUUAUCUAAUUGACUCGAUUGCCACCUGUUUUUAUAACUAAUGGUUGCUGAAACUUCUCUGCUCCCUUGGAUAGAACUCAGCCUAGUCCUAUCAAGGACCCAAUUGUACUCCACUGUAAACAAGGUUCAGAUAAUGUCUUCAAUAUUUCUGUUACAUAACUUCAGCCAUCUGUUACACUGUCAUUCCUGGCUUUUGGACUAACCAAAAGUACCCAUUCAGAAGAACAAAAGCUGAUUUGAAGACCAGAACGGUCCAGCUGGAGACUACUUGGAUAAAUGACCACCUGUAUUUCUCACAUACUGUCAUACUGCUGGGAUCUAACAUCUAACUCAAAUGGUGGUUAAAUUGACUCUUUUUAAGGGGUUUGGAGGCCAAAGGGAAAUGAAAUGGGGGAGACUACUUUUCUACUUGGGAGGAGCUGGUAGCUGGUCUUAGAACAGCUACGGGUCCUGCACACAUGAAUUCGUACCCAUGCCCGGGCUUUCCUGACCCAGUUCUUUCUCCUAGACCUGCACUAUGUUGGUAGGGAUGAUUGGAUCAGGAGUUGGGUCUCCGGUGUUUGAACAGCUGACAAUAUAGGGGUUUCAGGAUUGCCUGUGAAAGGAAAUCCCACAUCCCAAAGACCAACUCGAGCUUUCAUUAGCCUAAGGCUAGCUUUGUUAUGGGGCCCAUCCCUAUUACGCUUCAGAAAUUUCAAAUCAGUUUUUGUAAUGGAGGCCAAGUGGGACCUGGAGGCAGGCUUAAAGUGGGUUCUGUGGCUCCAGCUUUUGGGUAGGAGCUGGGUAAGAUUGAUCGGGUGUUCUACUUCCCUGCUGAAGGUGAUGCUCACCCUCUAGCAAAUUCAUUCUCGGUAUGCCAGUACCACCCUACCUGAGGUAAAAGGUAUGAACUGGGAUAGGUUGAUGUCCCCCGUACAGAAGUCCACCUGAAUGUUUUCUUGUCUGAAGCAGAAGCUGAGUAUUGGAGACUGGCUGCUGCUUAGAUUUGUGAUGUCAAAGUACGAAGUAACGGCUGUUUAAAGAAAAUGAUGAGAAUGAGCUGAAUCUGAAGUCCCACUAAUAAUGGGGAAUUCCUGGGGCUGAUGAGCCAGGAAGAAAACUUGAAUUUGUAAGGCAUCAACCUUCCCCUAGGGAAGUAGAGUGAUCCAGUGUGGGUAGAGCAUAGGCCAGGGAGUCGGGGCCUGGGUUCUCAUUCUAGCUCUAUAUUUCACCUGCCGUUUGACCUUGGUUAAGUCUGCCUCAGUUUCCUCACCUGUAAAAUGGGAAUUAAGGCUGAGCCCCAUGUGGGCUUAAGCUUGUAUCUAUCCCAGUGCUCAGUGCAGGGCCUUGCACAUAAUAAGCACUGGAAAAAAGUUACUGUGAACUGCUGCUCUCAAUUUAUUUGCUUCUAUCAAGGAUAUUUCUCAAUUUUUGGUUUUUUUGCCCAUUACAGACAAAUACCUAAUCACUCUUGGAGGCCUGAGGCAAGCUUGUCCUUGUUUAGGAUUUUUCUGGAUGUGAUUGCUGGCCUAAAAAAAAUAACAAGGUAUCCAGACCCUUUAUUCUCUUGUCCUUGCAGUAGCUGACCUACCUGUUUGCCAUUUGUCAUGAGUAUAUAGAAUUUAAGUUGGCUACUCAUAUACAUAUCCAUCUUUUCAUUUUUCUUACUAUCUGUAAUGUGUUGCCUUAUCCCUUAUUAGAUUGUAAACCCCUCGAGGGUUGGGAUUGUAUCUUCUAACCAUUGUACUCCAAUGUUUAGUACAGUGCAUGGCACCCAGGUGCUCAAUAAAUACUAUUACUUGAUUGCUU